rnacentral:rRNA from 1 species
ACUCCUACGGGAGGCAGCAGUGGGAAUAUUGCACAAUGGGCGCAAGCCUGAUCUAGCCAUGCCGCGUGAGUGAUGAAGGCCCUAGGGUCGUAAAGCUCUUUCGCCAGGGAUGAUAAUGACAGUACCUGGUAAAGAAACCCCGGCUAACUCCGUGCCAGCAGCCGCGGUAAUACGGAGGGGUUAGCGUUGUUCGGAAUUACUGGGCGUAAAGCGUACGUAGGCGGAUUAGAAAGUUAGGGGUGAAAUCCCAGGGCUCAACCCUGGAACUGCCUCUAAAACUACUAGUCUAGAGUUCGAGAGAGGUGAGUGGAACUCCGAGUGUAGAGGUGAAAUUCGUAGAUAUUCGGAAGAACACCAGUGGCGAAGGCGGCUCACUGGCUCGAUACUGACGCUGAGGUACGAAAGUGUGGGGAGCAAACAGGAUUAGAUACCCUGGUAGGCUCUGC